AGCUCCAAUAGCGUAUAUUAAAGUUGCUGCAGUUAAAAAGCUCGUAGUUGCAUUUCCGAGGCAAGGGAUUAGUCCGACCUUUGGUGGGUAUUUAAUCCUCUUGCCUCGUCCUUGAGUGGUGCUUCUUGGUAUUAAGUUAUCGAGGAGAUAGCCGCUCAUCGUUUACUGUGAGAAAAUUAGAGUGUUCAAAGCAGGCUUAUGCCGUUGAAUAUAUUAGCAUGGAAUAAUAAGAUAGGACCUCUGUACUAUUGUGUUGGUUUGAGAACCAAGGUAAUGAUGAAUAGGGACAGUUGGGGGUAUUCGUAUUCAGUUGUCAGAGGUGAAAUUCUUAGAUUUACGGAAGACGAACUACUGCGAAAGCAUUUACCAAGGAUGUUUUCA
rnacentral:rRNA from 1 species